CCGACCGAGGGAACAGAUUUACAUUUUAGAGCUCAAGAACAGCAAAAGAAAAUACAUAACUAGAUGCAGAAACUCAAGAUGGAAGAAGAAGAAGAAGAAGAAGAAGAAGCAGCAGCAGCAGGAGUAAUGUUGAUUAGUCCGUGUUCUCUCAUGCUAUACAUCAUCAGAUCCUGCGCUCAGUGCCUCGGCUGCUCAUCAACUACUUCUCCCACUGAAGAAAAUGAUCCCCAACCUCAAGAUCCUCAAGACCCUGACGCUGGUGGUGGAUCAAGAAUUAGUCCGAGCGCAGCACGUAGAAGGCCAACCCCGCCGCCAAUUAGUGGAGGAAGAGGAGGGCAGCACCACUAGUUCAUGUAACUAAGUCAUUAAUUAUCGCAUGCAUGAUCGGUGUUAAUUUGCAGAGUUUAAGUUACAGGCUUAGCCGUUAGUUUCAGUUCAGGAGCAAAAUGUUUAAGGAAUAUGGUCAGAGUAAUGGCUUGGGAGCUGCUUAAUUGACAGUGUUUUAUUGUUGUAUGCCUCUACUUCGGAAAACCUCUGUUUCUCUAAUUUGUCUGUUAGUUGUUCUUAAAUGAUGGAUUUUGUAGUUAUGUAAGCAUUACCAA